rnacentral:rRNA from 1 species
AUUGAACGCUGGCGGCAGGCUUAACACAUGCAAGUCGAGCGGGGUGAGCUGCUUCGGUACUGAUCCUAGCGGCGGACGGGUGAGUAAUGCUAAGGAAUCUGCCAUUUAGUGGGGGACAACAUUCCGAAAGGAAUGCUAAUACCGCAUACGUCCUACGGGAGAAAGCAGGGGAUCUUCGGACCUUGCGCCAAAUGAUGAGCUUAAGUCGGAUUAGCUAGUUGGUGGGGUAAAGGCCUACCAAGGCGACGAUGUGUAGCGGGGCUGAGAGGAUGUACCGCCACGCAGGGACGUGGGCACGGCCCAGACACCUACGGGAGGCAGCAGUGGGGAUGAUUGGACAGUAGGCGGAAACCGGAUCCAGCAAUGCCGCGUGUGUGAAGAAGGCCUUUUGGUUGUAAAGCACUGUAAGCGAGGAGGAGGCUACCCGGAUUAAUACUCUAGGAUAGUGGACGUUACUCGCAGAAUAAGCACCGGCUAACUCUGUGCCAGCCGCCGCCGUAAAAC